CUAAUGAUGAUGGCAUGACUACAGCACAAUCUGAGUUCUGGGACCCAUGUGAUGGAGUUUGAAUGGACUCAGGGGAAAAGUGG
rnacentral:snoRNA from 1 species